UGCGAUUCUUUUCUUUCUGCCUA
rnacentral:siRNA from 1 species